rnacentral:rRNA from 1 species
UACGUAGGGUGCAAGCGUUUAAUCGGAAUUACUGGGCGUAAAGCGUGCGCAGGCGGUGAUGUAAGACAGUUGUGAAAUCCCCGGGCUCAACCUGGGAACUGCGUUUGAAACUACAAGGCUAGAGUGUGGCAGAGGGGGGUGGAAUUCCACGUGUAGCAGUGAAAUGCGUAGAGAUGUGGAGGAACACCGAUGGCGAAGGCAGCCCCCUGGGUUAACACUGACGCUCAGGCACGAAAGCGUGGGGAGCAAACAGG